GCCCGGUUAGCUCAGUUGGUAGAGCAUCAGACUUUUAAUCUGAGGGUCGUGGGUUCAAGUCCCCCAUCGGGCG
rnacentral:tRNA from 1 species